ACUAUUUUGACAGAAAAAUGUGAUGAUUUUAGAAAUCAUUUAUAUAUAAUUUAAUUAUAUAGGUAGUA
rnacentral:tRNA from 1 species